AUUGAACGCUGGCGGCAGGCCUAACACAUGCAAGUCGAGCGAGCGGCGGACGGGUGAGUAAUGUCUGGGAAACUGCCUGAUGGAGGGGGAUAACUACUGGAAACGGUAGCUAAUACCGCAUACCAUCAGAUGUGCCCAGAUGGGAGUAGCUAGUAGGUGGGGUAACGGCUCACCUAGGCGACGAUCCCUAGCUGGUCUGAGAGGAUGACCAGCCAGCCUGGAACGUGGACACGGUCCCGACUCCUACGGAAGGCAGCAGUGGGGAUUAUUGCACAAUGGGCGCAAGCCUGAUGCAGCCAUGCCGCGUGUUUUAAGAGGUCCUUCGGGUUGUAAAGCACUUUCAGCGGGGAGGCGUUACCCGCAGAAGAAGCACCGGCUAACUCCGUGCCAGCAGCCGCGGUAAUAC
rnacentral:rRNA from 1 species